UCUUGCUGCCUUCCCUCGGCUCUGGAACACCUGCUGCUUGGCUGCCGCGGCUGUGUCGCUUUUCCAAGGGAUCGGGCACCAUUCCGGACCCACGUUCGGUGAACUCGUUACUCCUCAGAGCUGCUUUAGGCGCUGGGAGAUGAAAUAGAUAACUAGGUUUUUCUUAUAGCUGUUCUCGGAUGAUCUUGAUAAAGUAAUCGCCUGUGCAUUUCAAAUGUAAGCUCACAUUUGAAGAGACUAAGAAGUCCUGUUUUUGCCAGCAUGCUGAUCCCAUUUUCAACGAAGAAUUGCUUCCGGUUACUUUGUAACCUCAAGGUCCCAGCAGCUGGCUUUAAAAACAUAGUAAAAAGUGGGCUCAUUUUACAGUCGAUUUCCAAUGAUGUUUACCAAAACCUGGCUGUAGAAGACUGGAUCCAUGACCAUAUGAAUCUAGAAGGCAAGCCCGUGCUUUUCUUGUGGAGAAAUUCUCCCUCUGUUGUAAUAGGUAGGCAUCAGAAUCCUUGGCAGGAAUGUAACCUGAAUCUGAUGAGAGAAGAAGGAAUAAAACUGGCUCGGAGAAGAAGUGGAGGAGGAACAGUCUACCAUGAUAUGGGUAAUAUCAAUUUGACUUUUUUUACAACCAAAAAAAAGUAUGAUAGAAUGGAAAAUCUAAAAUUGGUUGUGAGAGCUCUGAAUUCUGUCCAACCCCAGCUGGAUGUGCAGCCUACCAAAAGAUUUGACCUUUUACUUGAUGGACAGUUUAAAAUCUCAGGAACAGCUUCUAAGAUUGGCCGGACUACUGCUUAUCACCAUUGCACUUUAUUAUGUGGUACCGAUCGGACCUUCUUGUCAUCUUUGCUGAAGAGCCCUUACCAAGGGAUCAGGAGCAAUGCCACUGCUAGCAUACCUGCCUUAGUAAAAAAUCUUUUGGAAAAAGAUCCCACUCUGACCUGUGAAGUACUGAUGAAUGCUAUUGCUGCAGAGUAUGCUGCUUAUCAUCAAAUUGAUAAUCACAUUAGCCUAAUAAACCCAACAGAUGAGACACUGUUUCCUGGAAUAAAUAGCAAAGCCAAAGAACUAAAAACCUGGGAGUGGAUAUAUGGCAAAACUCCAAAGUUUAGUAUAAACACUUCCUUUAAUGUGUUAUAUGAACAGUCACACUUGGAAAUUAAAGUAUUCAUAGACAUAAAGAAUGGAAGAAUUGAAAUCUGUAAUAUUGAAGCACCUGAUCAUUGGUUGCCAAUGGAAAUAUGUGACAAAUUAAAUUCAAGUUUUAUUGGUAGUAAGUUUUGCCCAAUUGAAACUAGUAUGCUAAUAAAUAUAUUACAUAGAACAUGUCCAGAAGAUGAUGAAGUACAUAGUAAAUGGAAUAUUCUCUGUGAAAAAAUUAAGGGAAUAAUGUGAUUCCAAGUAAAUUUCUUAAUCUGGACAGUUUCAAUGAGAAAAUAAAAAAUUUUAAUGUACA